GUGUCUUUUGUUUAUGCUUUUAUUUUAUUUUUUCUGUUUUUUCCCUCAAAUUCAAAUUUUUUUGAAUUCAUUUUUGUCUAUGGUGUUAUUUACUUCAUCUACUUGUUCUUGAUUCUGUUAAGUGCUUGUUAUUAUUUUUUGUUUGUUUUUUUUAUUUUUAUUUUUAUCUUUUUCUGAGUUUUAGUUUUGGCCACUAUUGUUUAGAAUCCUAAUGAAAUUUUCUUUUUGUUUGAGAUGGUUGCAAGGAUUAUUCAUUUGUUCAUCAAUCUUGGAGAACCAUAGCGGCCACUUUUCGUAGCGGAGCAGUUAUAAGACAAGAUACAGUAGUAGGUGGUGUUCUUUUCAGUUGGUGUUGGUACUCGUUCAUGGGUUGGGCUUUGUUGGGCUGCUUUGCGCAACAUUUAUUUAUUGUCCACUUGCCCAAGUUUUGCGUGUUGGUUGUUAUUGAUGAGCAAGCUUUACAGUGGUACUUUUUUUCCUUAAUUGGAUUUCCCUCCGUUUGGGGGUUUUUAAGGUAAUGUUUUAACGAGGCUACUAUUGCUCCAUCACUUGACUCCGUUGGGGACUUUUUGUCCCUCAUGGUGAUGAUUUCUGUUGGUGGCAUUGCGGUUUCCAUGUGCAGAUCGAAGGGGUGUUCCUGCUUCCUCUUCUUUCUCUUUUCUUGUUGUUUCUAUUUGAGUUGUUCAAGCACGAGUCUUUUUUAAGAUCAUGCAUUUGUUGAUGUCUCUUAUGUUUGAGUUUUGGAUAGUAUUGACUGUUUCAGUGCUAUCUUUUGUACUCUCUUACGGUGCUUAUUAUUUUUUAAUAAAGUGUCUUUUCUAAAUAAAUAAAAAUGAUAAAUUAUUCCAACAACAAAAAAAACUGAUAAAUUAUAUUUUCCCUAUAUUAUAUAGUCUUUUUACGUAAAUGGGUUUUUAAAAAAAAGAGUAAAAUAAACACGAACAACUGAACAAGGCCCAUAAUGUUGACCAAAAGAAAAGAACAAGGGCCAUAAUGGCCAGAGUAAAAGGGCUCGAGUCUUUAGAAACGAAUAGGCUGAACAUUUGUUUUUAGACUUUUGCUUUGCUUAACCCAGUCUACCCAAAGUUUCUCUCCUUCCCAACUCAGGGGCCAAAUGACACGUUGUCGUAUUUGCGUAAGAAACGAGUCAAACGACAGGUAUUAGAUUAUCUGUCACAAAUGUACGACAGCACAACAGCAGCUGCAUAUUAGUCUUAUCCGAAUCUAUCGUCAAUUGGCGCGUUAAAAUCUAACUGACGAAAUAGCGCCAAAUUUCUCAUCUCCCAACCGUCCGAUCAAUCAAAUGGUCUCAACGUGCCUCAGAUCAGAGGCGCUUAACAUUUUUCUCUCAUUUAACUAUUACGAAUAUGAAGAACCCAGUCGUGACGAGUUGGACCGAGUCGACUCGGAAUCUCUUCGAACCAGUCAUCGUUUUAGUCAUCACUUUCGCUGCCAUCGUCAAACUAUCUCAGUCUCUCUAUCGCUACAACCUCCGUCGCCGCUCAAGAGCUCGCUCUGGAACGAUGUCGUCGUCUUCUUCAUCUGACAACGGCACCGGCGUCCAAGCUCGUAGGCGCAGUCGUAUUCUCUCCAGCAAGCUCUACUUCGACAUCCCCAACUCCAAGGUGCCGUUGAUUUACUCGUCUGCAUACGAUAUUACUUUUCUUGGCAUCGAGAAGCUGCACCCGUUUGAUUCGAGUAAGUGGGGUCGGAUAUGUGGGUUUCUGUUGGUGGAUAAUGUUGUGGACAAAAAUUGCAUCGUAGAGCCUCUGGAAGCUUCAAAGAAUGAUCUCCUUGUGGUACACUCGGAAGCAUACUUGAAUUGUCUAAAGAAAAGUGCAAAUGUUGCUAUGAUAAUUGAGGUACCUCAUGUUGCCGUAUUCCCGAAUUGCCUUGUGCAGCAGAAAGUUCUCUAUCCAUUUCGCAACCAGGUGGGGGGAACUAUCUUGGCUGCAAAGCUUGCAAAAGAGCGAGGAUGGGCCAUCAAUGUUGGGGGAGGGUUUCAUCAUUGCUCUGGGGAAAAAGGAGGGGGAUUCUGUGCUUAUGCAGAUAUUUCUCUUUGCAUACACUUUGCCUUUGAGCGGUUAAACAUAUCAAGGGUGAUGAUUAUUGAUCUUGAUGCACAUCAAGGAAAUGGCCAUGAAACGGAUUUUGCCAAUGACAGUCGAGUCUAUAUACUGGAUGUGUACAACCCUGGAAUAUAUCCAUUUGAUUAUGAAGCAAGAAGAUACAUUGAUCAAAAGGUUGAAGUAGUGAGUGGAACUACAACAAAUGAGUACUUGAGAAAAUUAGAUGAAGCACUUGAGGUUUCUGUUCAUAGUUUUGAUCCUGAGUUGAUAGUCUACAAUGCUGGAACUGAUAUUCUAGAUGGCGAUCCUCUGGGCAGGUUGAAGUCCUGAUGGGAUAACAAAUAGAGACGAGAAAGUUUUCAGGUUUGCUCGUAAGAGGAACAUUCCUAUUGUCAUGCUCACAUCAGGUGGUUACAUGAAGUCUAGUGCCAGAGUUAUAGCAGACUCGAUAACCAAUCUCUCAAACAAAUGCCUUAUAGAUACAGGUAAAAACAUGACUGCCACAUGAACCAUCCCCCAACGUAUUUCGUGGCUAUUUACGAGGUUGGGUCACUGCCAAGAAGCCAUGACAUGGGUUUCAGGAUUCAUACAUGAAUGAUAUAUGCAUCUGAGACGAGCUAGGCAUGCAUAUUCACUAAAAACAAUGUAUAGCAAUAGCUUAAGUAGCGGGGGAGAUUCAUCAUUCUGCGUUCUGGUUGGCCAUGACUGCAUCUUGUAAUAUACAGUCACGCAUUCGAAUUCGAUGAGAUAAGAGAACGCCUACACUUAGGUUCUGCAUAAAUGUGUUGAUUAUCUGAUAUUAGAGAUUAUCGAAUUCGAUGUAAUAUACAGUCACGCUUUCAGCCCUUGUUUCAUUUGGGAAUUGUCGGGUUGGGGUCAGCUCAGCCUUCUUUCAGGCCUAAUGAGGCGGGGCCUUCUCAGCAAAACAAAUAAAUAAAGAUGACAAACUAAUUGACUAGCAA